GACGAACGCUGGCGGCAUGCCUAACACAUGCAAGUCGAACGAGACCUUCGGGUCUAGUGGCGCACGGGUGCGUAACGCGUGGGAACCUGCCCUUAGGUUCGGAAUAACUCCCCGAAAGGGGUGCUAAUACCGGAUAAUGUCUUCGGACCAAAGAUUUAUCGCCUUUGGAUGGGCCCGCGUUGGAUUAGCUAGUUGGUAGGGUAAAAGCCUACCAAGGCGACGAUCCAGAGCUGGUCUGAGAGGAGGAUCAGCCACACUGGGACUGGGACACGGCCCAGACGCCUGCGGGAGGCAGCAGUGGGUAAUAUUAGACAGUGGGCGAAAUCCUGAACCAGCACGUCCGCGUGAGUGAUGAAGGCCUUAGGGUUGGAAAGCUCUUUUACCCGGGAUGAUAAUGACAGUACCGGUAGAAUAAGCUCCGGCAACCUCCGU
rnacentral:rRNA from 1 species